UUUGCAUUUUCCAGAGAUUUUCGGAAGAGGAAAGUGGAUCGCCGGAAUGAGGAGAGUCAGUAGAAUCGCCGCCUUAUACCGGGCAGUCGACGGUGCAGCCGCCAUGGAGGUGCCACAGCAUAGGAUGUCUACGGCGGCUCAGUUUAGCACGAGCAGCAACAAAUCAUCUACCAGGUCUAACUGGUUAUUCAACAAUUUGCUCACGGAUCUAUCUGCUAGAACCGCAGCUCAUGCUGUUGCUGGAACAAUGCUUUUCUCGGUGGCGGCUACCACGUUGACCGAGGAAGUUCACGCUAAAGAAGUAGUGCCACCGGAAUUACGCCCAAAAGAUCUUGUCCUUUAUCAGUAUGAAGCUUGUCCUUUCUGUAACAAGGUUAAAGCAUUCCUCGACUACUAUGACUUACCAUACAAGAUCAUUGAGGUCAAUCCCAUCAGCAAAAAAGAACUCAAGUGGUCUGAUUAUAAGAAAGUGCCUGUUGUGUUGGUUGACGGUGAACAGAUGGUGAACUCAUCAGAUAUUAUUGAUAAAUUGUACGAGAAGGUUCGUUCUGGUGAUUCUACAUUUGAUGCUGAUGAAGAGAGCAAAUGGCGCAAGUGGGUGGAUGAUCACUUGGUGCACAUGUUAUCACCUAACAUAUACCGAAAUACCUCAGAAGCUCUUGAAUCGUUCGAUUAUAUCACUAGUCAUGGUAAUUUCAGCUUUACGGAGAGAAUAACUGCCAAGUAUGCUGGAGCUGCAGCCAUGUAUUUUGUUUCGAAGAAAUUGAAGAAGAAAUAUAAUAUUACAGAUGAGCGUGCAGCCCUGUAUGAAGCUGCAGAAACAUGGGUUGAUGCUCUUAAGGGCCGAGAUUUUCUUGGUGGCUCUAAACCAAACUUAGCAGAUCUUGCUGUAUAUGGCGUUUUGAGACCCAUACGCUAUCUGAAAUCUGGUAGAGACAUGGUGGAGAACACACGUAUUGGUGAUUGGUACUCUCGAAUGGAAAGUGAAGUAGGCGUGUCUGCUAGAAUUCAAGCUUAAAUGACAUCUAUUGGUCAAUGGGCAAAUCACAUUCAGGGACAGUUUUUGACACUAGUUGAUUACAGUUCCGAUAAAGAACAUUACUUCCAAGCCAGUGACAAAUUAUUAAUAUAUAAAGAAGUGCACUUUCACAAAGUUUUGGUAGUUAGAUACAAAAUAAAUUUGGAUGUGGGCUUGUUACCAUUCUACAUUAACUUAUUCUUUUGGAUGUAAGUUCUAUUUGAGGUGUGCUGAGACAAUACUUGCAGUUUACACCAUUUUUUACCCAAUGGUGUAAAAACUCGUCACUUUCAUGUGCUAAUUUUACUUCUGAUUUUGUCCAAAUACAAUACAUGGAACUUUUUC
rnacentral:misc_RNA from 1 species